UCUCCGUUGGUGAACCAGCGGAGGGAUCAUUACCGAGUUUACAACUCCCAAACCCAUGUGAACAUACCUAUCGUUGCUUCGGCGGAUCGCCCCGGGCGCCUUGCGUGCCCCGGAUCCAGGCGGCCGCCGGGGGACCUUAACUCUUGUUUCUACUGAGAAUCUUCUGAGUCGUUUUUACAAAUAAAUAAAAACUUUCAACAACGGAUCUCUUGGUUCUGGCAUCGAUGAAGAACGCAGC
rnacentral:misc_RNA from 1 species